rnacentral:rRNA from 1 species
AUUGAACGCUGGCGGCAGGCCUAACACAUGCAAGUCGAGCGGAUGAAGGGAGCUUGCUCCUGGAUUCAGCGGCGGACGGGUGAGUAAUGCCUAGGAAUCUGCCUGGUAGUGGGGUAUAACGUCCGGAAACGGGCGCUAAUACCGCAUACGUCCUGAGGGAGAAAGUGGGGGGUCUUCGGACCUCACGCUCUCAGAUGAGCCUAGGUCGGAUUAGCUAGUUGGUGGGGUAAAGGCCUACCAAGGCGACGAUCCGUAACUGGUCUGAGAGGAUGAUCGGUCACACUGGAACGGAGACACGGUCCAGACUCCUAAGGGAGGCAGCAGUGGGGAAUGUUGGACAAUGGGCGAAAGCCUGAUACAGCCAUGCCGCGUGUGUGAAGAAGGUCUUCCGAUUGGAAAGCACUUUAAGUUGGGAGGAAGGGCAGUAAGUUAAUACCUUGCUGUUUUGACGUUACCAACUGAAUAAGCACCGGCUAACUUCGUG